AGUGAACGCUGGCGGUAGGCCUAACACAUGCAAGUCGAACGGCAGCACAGGAGAGCUUGCUCUCUGGGUGGCGAGUGGCGGACGGGUGAGGAAUACAUCGGAAUCUACUCUGUCGUGGGGGAUAACGUAGGGAAACUUACGCUAAUACCGCAUACGACCUACGGGUGAAAGCAGGGGAUCUUCGGACCUUGCGCGAUUGAAUGAGCCGAUGUCGGAUUAGCUAGUUGGCGGGGUAAAGGCCCACCAAGGCGACGAUCCGUAGCUGGGCUGGAGGGAAGAUUCGCCACAAUGGAGCUGGGGCACGUUCCAGACUCCUACGGGAGGCAGCAGUGGGGAAUAUUGGACAAUUGGCGCAAGCCUGAUCCAGCCAUUCCGCGUGGGUGAAGAAGGCCUUCGGGUUGGAAAGCCCUUGUGUUGGGAAAGAAAUCCAGCGGGCUAAUACCCGGUUGGGAUGACGGUACCCAAAGAAUAAGCACCGGCUAACUUCGUGCCAGCCGCCGCCGUAA
rnacentral:rRNA from 1 species